rnacentral:rRNA from 1 species
UAAUACGUAGGGAGCAAGCGUUGUCCGGAAUCAUUGGGCGUAAAGCGCGCGUAGGCGGCCCUGUAAGUCCGCUCUGAAAGUCAAAGGCUCAACCUUUGAAAGCGGGUGGAUACUGCAGGGCUAGAGUCCGGAAGAGGCGGGUGGAAUUCCUGGUGUAGCGGUGGAAUGCGCAGAUAUCAGGAGGAACACCAACGGCGAAGGCAGCCCGCUGGGACGGUACUGACGCUGAGGCGCGAAAGCGUGGGGAGCGAACAGGAUUAGAUACCCUGGUAGUCCACGCCCUAAACGAUGAUUACUCGACGUUGGCGAUACACUGAUCAGCGUCCAAGCGAAAGCAUUAAGUAAUCCACCUGGGAAGUACGUUCGCAAGAAUG